AGGAUACACCUGUUCCCAUCCCGAACACAGUAGUUAAGCUCUUUAGCGCCGAUGGUAGUUGGGGGUUUCCCCCUGUGAGAGUAGGACGUUGCCAAGC
rnacentral:rRNA from 2 species